UGGGGAAUUUUGCACAAUGGGGGAAACCCUGAUGCAGCGACGCCGCGUGAUUUAGAAGGCCUUCGGGUUGUAAAAAUCUUUUUUACGGGAUGAAAAUGACAGUACCGUAAGAAUAAGGUCCGGCUAAAUACGUGCCAGCAGCCGAGGUAAUACGUAUGGACCGAGCGUUGUCCGGAAUCAUUGGGCGUAAAGGGUACGUAGGCGGCCUAGUAAGUUAGAAGUGAAAUAAUAUAGCUCAACUAUAUAAAGCUUUUAAAACUGCUAGGCUUGAGAGAUGGAAGGGAAAGUGGAAUUCCUAGUGUAGCGGUGAAAUGCGCAGAUAUUAGGAAGAAUACCGGUGGCGGAGGCGACUUUCUGGUCAUCAUCUGACGAUGAGGUACGAAAGCGUGGGUAGCAAACAGG
rnacentral:rRNA from 1 species